rnacentral:rRNA from 1 species
UGGGGAAUUUUGGACAAUGGGCGAAAGCCUGAUCCAGCAAUGCCGCGUGUGUGAAGAAGGCCUUCGGGUUGUAAAGCACUUUUGUCCGGAAAGAAAUCCUUGGCUCUAAUACAGUCGGGGGAUGACGGUACCGGAAGAAUAAGCACCGGCUAACUACGUGCCAGCAGCCGCGGUAAUACGUAGGGUGCAAGCGUUAAUCGGAAUUACUGGGCGUAAAGCGUGCGCAGGCGGUUGCUAAGACCGAUGUGAAAUCCCCGGGCUCAACCUGGGAACUGCAUUGGUGACUGGCAGGCUAGAGUAUGGCAGAGGGGGGUAGAAUUCCACGUGUAGCAGUGAAAUGCGUAGAGAUGUGGAGGAAUACCGAUGGCGAAGGCAGCCCCCUGGGCCAAUACUGACGCUCAUGCACGAAAGCGUGGGGAGCAAACAGGAUUAGAUACCCUGGUAGUCCACGCCCUAAACGAUGUCAACUAGUUGUUGGGGAUUCAUUUCCUUAGUAACGUAGCUAACGCGUGAAGUUGACCGCCUGGGGAGUACGUCGCAAGAUUAAAACUUAAAUGAAUUGACGGGGUCAUAGCUGUUUCCU